CCUAGAGGGCGGGGCUGACGCUAGAGGAGACGGCCGGGGUCUUACUCCCACCCACGAAGCUUCCAAACCAGAUUCCGACAGCUCGGCAUUUUCCGUCAGUCUGGUCCCGUCUUCGGGCUCCCCACUUACCGCACGGAGCGCGGGGCUUGGGCUCCAGCAGCGGCUCAGGGCAGAGCACGGCCGAGGCAAGCUCCAGCCAGAAGAGGACUACUGAGAGCCAACGCAACGAGCGGAUGUGACGCUUCAUCUAGAGAACACAAUCUAGGACUGCAAUGAAAACAAAGAAGGACAAGAUGUCACAGGUUGAUAACUUGGAGCUCAUGUAAGCUAUAGGUCUGAGCGCCCUCUGUCAAGAGGUUGAAACUCAAAAGUCUGUCUGAAGAGUGAGCCCAAGUGCCCUCUCCC
rnacentral:lncRNA from 1 species